AGGUGUGAUUUCACAGGCUGGCUCCCCCCUGUCAGGGCCCUGAUUGGGCCGGACAGGAGGCGCAGGAGAGGCCCGGGCUUCUAAAGGACACCAACAGGUGGGAGGCCGCUUUGGAGGGGGGCACUCCGGGGCGGGAUAGAAAAGGCCGAUCUGCAUGGCCUGAUGUGGGCACAAUCCACUGGCCACAAACAGAAGAGGAUGGUUGAUGGCAGGGGAGCUGAGGUGAAGAAAAGGGCAGGGUGAGGUUGGGGGAAUGGGUCUCAGGGAAGUCGAGGGUCAGUCUGAGAUGAGUUUGGGGUUUGGUGGGUUGGUAGGCCAGCUCCAGGUCAGUUUAGUGUUGCUCGUGAGCAAAUAUCUCAGGGUUUUUCUCUGGAUUUGAGGCCUAAAUUGCAGCCGUGUGUGAGUAAACUCAGGUGUCAAACCGGCUGUUAGAUGUUUUCUCUCAGUGUUGUUUUACGACAGCAGCACACACACGCUCUGACAGAGGCCCGACACCUCCGUCAGGUAAGAGGAAUGCUGAGGUGUGACACAGGAAAGAAUCAGCAAAUUUGGAUGCGCUCGUCUUUUCUUAAUGGCCAUUUGGUUUUGACACGGCAGAGGUCAGAUUUAUCAGGGGGAGUCACCACCACCACCAGAUAGACACUUAACUGUGUAGGAGAGACUGUCAGAAACCUCAGUGUGGCCUCAGACCUUGACUCACCACAAGAAAAAACCUGAAGAGGAGACACAACAAUGCUCAGCGAAGGUAAGGCCGAGGAGGACGUGACAGCGCGAUGAUGCCCACCUCCCAUUUCCCUUCUCUCUUCUUUUUCCAUGCCCUCACGCCCUCUGUAAACAUCCCUCACCUCCUCCCCCCCUUGCUCUCUGUCUAUUGCUCUGCCUCUUGCAGCUGAAGCAACACACCUUGCUGUGGCUGGUCAAACGGAACCAAGUCAGGUGUUUCUGUGAGGUUUGGUCCCCUUCAACCAGCUACUGCGUCGUGAAUUCAGUCAGCAGACACCGGUGUGGAAUCAAAGAGGCAGUGGCGUUGUUGUGUAAUGCUGCAUAGUCUGGAGGUGAUAGUCAAAAAGCAGAUUGUGUGUAUUUAAUUAAGUGGCUUAAUUCUGUGUUUGUUUCCUGUGUGACAUUGUGAGCUUGAAUAAAAGUAUUUAUAAAUAAAAGAUUACUGACGAAA